CAAUAGCGUAUAUUAAAGCUGUUGCGGUUAAAAAGCUCGUAGUUGGAUUUCUGUCAAGUACAACUGGUCCGCCCUCCGGGUGAGCACAUAGUUUGGUCUUGGCAUCUUGCUGGAAAUUGUUGCUGCACUUGGCUGUGUGGCGCAGUGUCCAGCACUUUCACUUUGAGGAAAUUGGAGUGUUUCAAGCAGGCAAUGCCUUUGAACACAGUAGCAUGGAAUAAUUAGAUUGGGCUUUUGCUCCAAUUUGUCGGUUUCUGGAGCUGAGGUGAGAAUUAAUGGGGAUUGUGGGGGGCAUCCGAAUUUAGCCGUCAGAGGUGAAAUUCUUGGAUCGGCUAAAGACGGACAACUGCGAAAGCGUUUGCCCAGGAUGUUUUCAUUGA
rnacentral:rRNA from 1 species